rnacentral:rRNA from 1 species
GAGAGAGACAUGCGCGCAUAUCAAUAAGCGGAGGAAAAGAAACUAACAAGGAUUCCCCUAGUAACGGCGAGUGAAGCGGGAAGAGCUCAAAUUUGAAAUCUUAAAGGGUUUCCCUUUACGAAUUGUAGUUUAAAGAAGUGUUUUCUGUUGAGGUUUUGGUAAAAGUUCUUUGGAAUAGGACAUCAUAGAGGGUGAGAAUCCCGUAUUUGACCUUUACUUUCAACUUUGUGAUACACUUUCAAAGAGUCGGAUUGUUUGGGAAUGCAGUCCAAAAUGGGUGGUAAAUUUCAUCUAAAGCUAAAUAUUGGCGAGAGACCGAUAGCGAACAAGUACCGUGAGGGAAAGAUGAAAAGAACUUUGAAAAGAGAGUUAAACAGUACGUGAAAUUGUCAAAAGGGAAGCGUUUGACACCAGUGUCGUUUUUCUGAAAAUCAAUUAAAGAACUGUUUAUGCUAAGUUGUUUAGACUUUAUCAGCUAACUGUUUAGUUUUGAGCUUUUCUUUAAUGCACUUUUCAGUUAACAAGUCAACAUCAAUUUCUUUUGCUGUAAAAAAGCUUGAGGAAGGUGGCUUGAGAUUCGUCUUAAGUGUUUAUAGCCUCUUGCCUAUGCAGUCGGAGAGAUUGAGGUCUGCAGCGUAGAUCCUUCGGGGCUAAAUGCAUUUGUGCUAAGUUAUAGCAUUUUAUAGACAACUUGUUGACUAUGAUUUGUCUUGUAGCUUACUCGCUUAUGUUAUUUUACCUACGCUUAGGAUGUUGAGCGCAUGUCUCUCUCU